rnacentral:rRNA from 1 species
AUACAGAGGGUGCAAGCGUUAUCCGGAAUCAUGGGGUUUAAAGGGUCCGCAGGCGGUCAAUUAAGUCAGAGGUGAAAGCCCAUCGCUCAACGAUGGAACUGCCUUUGAUACUGGUUGACUUGAGUUAUACGGAAGUAGAUAGAAUAAGUAGUGUAGCGGUGAAAUGCAUAGAUAUUACUUAGAAUACCGAUUGCGAAGGCAGUCUACUACGUAUAUACUGACGCUGAGGGACGAAAGCGUGGGGAGCGAACAGGAUUAGAUACCCGAGUAGUCC